UUGGAGCCAUCAAACACUGGUGGUGUUGUCUUCUUUAUGGUUCAGACUGCGAGAGUGGAGAGGAGGAUAAAUGAGACAGAUAACUACAACAAAUUGGUGUAUGUAUAGGAAGCUUAAAUUUUUAUUUUGUAGCAUUAAGUUUUCUGUAGCAUUAAGUUUUUAUUUUGUAUGCAUUGGUGUAUAUGAUUUUAUCAUAAGGAUAAAUGUUUUCUGUAGCUAUCUUUCCAUUGUUUAUUUUAGUUUUGAUUCUAAAAUUUUU
rnacentral:lncRNA from 1 species